rnacentral:rRNA from 3 species
UUUCGCAAUGCCCGAAAGGGUGACGAAGCGACGCCGCGUGCGGGAAGAAGGCCUUCGGGUUGUAAACCGCUGUCGGGAGUUAAGAAAUGUAAGGAUGUUAAUAGCGUCUUUACUUGACUAAGGCUCCGGAGGAAGCCACGGCUAACUCUGUGCCAGCAGCCGCGGUAAUACAGAGGCGGCAAGCGUUGUUCGGAAUUAUUGGGCGUAAAGAGCACGUAGGCGGCUAUGUAAGUCGGUUGUGAAAGCCUUCCGCUCAACGGGAGAACAGCAUCCGAUACUGCAUGGCUUGAGUGCGGGAGGGGAGAGUGGAACUUCUGGUGGAGCGGUGAAAUGCGUAGAUAUCAGAAGGAACGCCGGCGGCGAAAGCGGCUCUCUGGCCCAUAACUGACGCUGAGUGUGCGAAAGCUAGGGGAGCAAACGGGAUUAGAUACCCCGGUAGUCCUAGCCGUAAACGAUGGGCACUAAGUAGAGGGGUUUUA